UAAUGAGAGUUUGAUCCUGGCUCAGGACGAACGCUGGCGGCGUGCCUAAUACAUGCAAGUAGAACGCUGAAGAGAGGAGCUUGCUCUUCUUGGAUGAGUUGCGAACGGGUGAGUAACGCGUAGGUAACCUGCCUUGUAGCGGGGGAUAACUAUUGGAAACGAUAGCUAAUACCGCAUAACAAUGGAUGACACAUGUCAUUUAUUUGAAAGGGGCAAUUGCUCCACUACAAGAUGGACCUGCGUUGUAUUAGCUAGUAGGUGAGGUAAUGGCUCACCUAGGCGACGAUACAUAGCCGACCUGAGAGGGUGAUCGGCCACACUGGGACUGAGACACGGCCCAGACUCCUACGGGAGGCAGCAGUAGGGAAUCUUCGGCAAUGGGGGCAACCCUGACCGAGCAACGCCGCGUGAGUGAAGAAGGUUUUCGGAUCGUAAAGCUCUGUUGUAAGUCAAGAACGGGUGUGAGAGUGGAAAGUUCACACUGUGACGGUAGCUUACCAGAAAGGGACGGCUAACUACGUGCCAGCAGCCGCGGUAAUACGUAGGUCCCGAGCGUUGUCCGGAUUUAUUGGGCGUAAAGCGAGCGCAGGCGGUUUGAUAAGUCUGAAGUUAAAGGCUGUGGCUCAACCAUAGUUCGCUUUGGAAACUGUCAAACUUGAGUGCAGAAGGGGAGAGUGGAAUUCCAUGUGUAGCGGUGAAAUGCGUAGAUAUAUGGAGGAACACCGGUGGCGAAAGCGGCUCUCUGGUCUGUAACUGACGCUGAGGCUCGAAAGCGUGGGGAGCGAACAGGAUUAGAUACCCUGGUAGUCCACGCCGUAAACGAUGAGUGCUAGGUGUUGGAUCCUUUCCGGGAUUCAGUGCCG
rnacentral:rRNA from 1 species